GACGAACGCUGGCGGCGUGCCUAACACAUGCAAGUUGAGCGACGAACCAGGGCUUGCCCUGGGGCAAAGCAGCGAACGGGUGAGUAACACGUGGGUAACCUACCCCGAUAACCGGGACAACCCGAGGAAACUCGGGCUAAUACCGGAUGUGCUCACUGGACUUCGGUUCAGUGCGUAAAGGAAGCUUCGGCCUCCGUAUCGGGAGGGGCCCGCGGCCCAUUAGUUUGUUGGUGUGGUAACGGCUCACCAAGACCGCGAUGGGUAGCUGGUCUGAGAGGACGAUCAGCCACACUGGGACUGAGACACGGCCCAGACGCCUACGGGAGGCAGCAGUGGGGAAUCUUGCGCAAUGCGCGAAAGCGUGACGCAGCAACGCCGCGUGGGGGAAGAAGGCCUUCGGGUUGUAAACCCCUUUCAGGGGGGACGAAGGUUCGGCGGUGAAUAGCCGUCCGGACUGACGGUACCUCCACAAGAAGCCCCGGCUAACUACGUG
rnacentral:rRNA from 1 species